rnacentral:rRNA from 1 species
AGAGUUUGAUCCUGGCUCAGAGCGAACGCUGGCGGCAGGCCUAACACAUGCAAGUCGAACGAACUCUUCGGAGUUAGUGGCGGACGGGUGAGUAACACGUGGGAACGUGCCUUUAGGUUCGGAAUAACUCAGGGAAACUUGUGCUAAUACCGAAUGUGCCCUUCGGGGGAAAGAUUUAUCGCCUUUAGAGCGGCCCGCGUCUGAUUAGCUAGUUGGUGAGGUAAAGGCUCACCAAGGCGACGAUCAGUAGCUGGUCUGAGAGGAUGAUCAGCCACAUUGGGACUGAGACACGGCCCAAACUCCUACGGGAGGCAGCAGUGGGGAAUCUUGCGCAAUGGGCGAAAGCCUGACGCAGCCAUGCCGCGUGAAUGAUGAAGGUCUUAGGAUUGUAAAAUUCUUUCACCGGGGACGAUAAUGACGGUACCCGGAGAAGAAGCCCCGGCUAACUUCGUGCCAGCAGCCGCGGUAAUACGAAGGGGGCUAGCGUUGCUCGGAAUUACUGGGCGUAAAGGGAGCGUAGGCGGACAUUUAAGUCAGGGGUGAAAUCCCGGGGCUCAACCUCGGAAUUGCCUUUGAUACUGGGUGUCUUGAGUAUGAGAGAGGUAUGUGGAACUCCGAGUGUAGAGGUGAAAUUCGUAGAUAUUCGGAAGAACACCAGUGGCGAAGGCGACAUACUGGCUCAUUACUGACGCUGAGGCUCGAAAGCGUGGGGAGCAAACAGGAUUAGAUACCCUGGUAGUCCACGCCGUAAACGAUGAUUGCUAGUUGUCGGGAUGCAUGCAUUUCGGUGACGCAGCUAACGCAUUAAGCAAUCCGCCUGGGGAGUACGGUCGCAAGAUUAAAACUCAAAGGAAUUGACGG